rnacentral:rRNA from 1 species
UUAUCUCUGUAGAGUCUGCAUAUCAAUAAGCGGAGGAAAAGAAACUAACUAGGAUUCCCUUAGUAACGGCGAGUGAAGCGGGAGGAGCUCAAAUUUGAAAUCUUCAAGGUUUUACCUUGACGAAUUGUAGUUUAAAGAAGUGUUUUCUGUUGGAGUUUCGGUAAAAGUUCUUUGGAAUAGGACAUCAUAGAGGGUGAGAAUCCCGUAUUUGACCAUUAUUUUCAACUGUGUGAUACACUUUCAAAGAGUCGGAUUGUUUGGGAAUGUCAGUCCAAAAUGGGUGGUAAAUUUCAUCUAAAGCUAAAUACUUGGCGAGAGACCGAUAGCGAACAAGUACCGUGAGGGAAAGAUGAAAAGAACUUUGAAAAGAGAGUUAAACAGUACGUGAAAUUGUCAAAAGGGAAGCGUUUGACACCAGUGUUGUUUUCUCGAAAAUCAAUUAAAAUAAUUGGGGAUUUUGUGUUGUAUUGACCUUAUAAGCUUUCUGCACUUUUUUCAUGUUUAUUUUUAAUGCACUUUUCGUUUAACAAGUCAACAUCAAUUUCUUUUGUUGUAAAAGGUCAUUGGAAGGUGGCCUUCUUUUCGGAGAAAGUGUUUAUAGCCUUUGACUUCUGCAAUCGGAGAGAUUGAGGUCUGCAGCGUAGAUCCUUCGGGGUUAGAUACAUUUGUGCUAAGUUAUAGCCUUUCAUAGACAACUUGUUGACUAUGAUCAGUCAUGUAGCUUACUCGCUUAUGCUAUUUUACCUACGCUUAGGAUGUUGAUCUCUCACAGUCGAGC